rnacentral:lncRNA from 12 species
CAAUCCAUAAUUAGCUAUAGUUACAUUGUUAUUCACUUAGAGUGAAGGCACUAUUUGAAGCAAGAUUUAAAGAAAUAAAUUUACUCUUUUCAAAUCUACAAUUUUCUUAAGGCUUACUCAUUUUACUUCUCUAGGGAUUUACUUCCUAGACCCUGCCCUUCCUCUGGUCAGAAGCUCUUUGCUGAUUGAUGACACCACAGUGAGGAGAGUCUUGAAUGCCCUUAAAAGUGUCCUGAGGUGCCUCUAGGUUUAAGUCAAAUAUGUCUGUCUUCUUACUAUAAAAAUGACAACACUGACAAUAAUCAAGACGUAGGAAAUACCUCCAUAACCUUUUAUUAUAGGUAUAUGAGAAAAGUAUAAAAACUUAUUUCCUCAACCAAUUUCUUCCCCCUUUAGGCAUAAUACCUUCAAAUACUUCAAGUUAUCUUUCUGGGAAGAAUUUAAUCUCCCACUGCAGUUUUUCUCACUGUUCAUGUAUACCUUUAAACACACACACAUACUAUUACACAGUAAUAACAAAAUUUCAAUCAUUUCUGGCAUUUUUUAAUCUUUUAGUAUCCAGAUGCCUCUUUGAAGGAAGAAAGCAUCUCUGAAGGGUGAAGAGAGUGUUCCAGGACCAUUUCUUGCUGAUGCAAACCAGCAACUUGUUGGAUGGAGACAGAUUUUCCUGAAAUUCAGAAAAAUCACACAGUCUUUGGGCUAGUCCAGAGAGGAACAAGGCAGAGCCAAGGGACAUUCCCAAACAGCAUUAAAGACAUUCUCAGAAGCAUGUUGAAAGGAAGAUUAUGCGGCAUCCUCUACUUCCCAGCAGUUAAGUUGUACAGAUA